UACGUAGGGGGCUAGCGUUAUCCGGAUUUACUGGGCGUAAAGGGUGCGUAGGCGGUCUUUUAAGUCAGGAGUGAAAGGCUACGGCUCAACCGUAGUAAGCUCUUGAAACUAGAGGACUUGAGUGCAGGAGAGGAGAGUGGAAUUCCUAGUGUAGCGGUGAAAUGCGUAGAUAUUAGGAGGAACACCAGUAGCGAAGGCGGCUCUCUGGACUGUAACUGACGCUGAGGCACGAAAGCGUGGGGAGCAAACAGG
rnacentral:rRNA from 1 species